AGCCCAAUAGGCUCGUUUUCCAUUUUGGGACGUCCCAGCCCAAUAGGCUCAGUCUUAAAUUGGAAAUAAUUAGGGUCUUCUUAAUUUUUAAUUAAGGAAAGAUAUACCCUUUAAUUUCUCACUCUAAUAUUCAUUUCUCACUUUAAUUUCAUUUCUCCCCACUCUCUCUCUCUCUCUCUCUCUUCGACUUCCCCUCCCCUCUUCAACGGCCAGAGCGUCGCCGCCGACACCAGAGCUCCGGCGACACACUCUCUCUCUCUCUCUUCGACUUCCCCUCCCCUCUUCAACGGCCAGAGCGUCGCCGCCGACACCAGAGCUCCGGCGACACUCUCUCUCUCUCUCUCUUCGACUUCCCCUCCCCUCUAGAAUCCGGCGAACAGCAGUAGGAGACGGAGCCUACCGGCAUCCCCCUCAGAUCUCGCUUCCCUUUCGCCAUUUCCAUCACCGCCGCCCCCUCCCCCUUCUCUCUCUCUCAACAACGAGC
rnacentral:lncRNA from 1 species